rnacentral:rRNA from 1 species
UCCUCUUAAUGAAGGUGAGUGGGAUAAAAAUAAGAAGUAUGGCGGUCUUCGAUCCUGUCAGAGGGACAUGUAUUUAGUAAACGAAUUUGCACGAAAAUCUGUCCUAGCUUAGAAUAAUUCAUUUUGUACACCGCUGUCUGAAAGAAAUUACAAAGGUAUUUUCUUGCUUCUUGUAUAGAAGUAAGGCAAGUUAAGGUGCAGAUUAUAGUUAGGGUAAUAUGUGUUCCAAUAAGAAUUAUGGACCUAUUGAAUGGAAGUAUUAGGUAAAGAGAAUUUGAUAGUAAGAUUAACUAUUAAAUUCAUCUGAAAUUGGGCUAUAGAAGGUGU